rnacentral:tRNA from 1 species
GGAGAGAUGCGAGAGCGGUUGAAUCGGGCGGUCUCGAAAACCGUUGAACCCUCGGGUUCCGGGGGUUCGAAUCCCCCUCUCUCCG